CUUCGGGUUAGUGGCGGACGGGUGAGUAACGCGUGAGAAUCUGCCCUCAGGAGGGGGAUAACGGUUGGAAACGACCGCUAAUACCCCAUAUGCCGCGAGGUGAAAUGAAUUUCGCCUGAGGAUGAGCUCGCGUCUGAUUAGCUAGUUGGUGGGGUAAAGGCCUACCAAGGCAUCGAUCAGUAGCUGGUCUGAGAGGAUGAUCAGCCACACUGGGACUGAGACACGGCCCAGACUCCUACGGGAGGCAGCAGUGGGGAAUUUUCCGCAAUGGGCGAAAGCCUGACGGAGCAACGCCGCGUGAGGGAUGAAGGCCUCUGGGCUGUAAACCUCUUUUAUCAAGGAAGAAGAUCUGACGGUACUUGACGAAUAAGCCACGGCUAAUUCCGUGCCAGCAGCCGCGGUAAUACGGGAGUGGCAAGCGUUAUCCGGAAUUAUUGGGCGUAAAGCGUCCGCAGGCGGCCCCUCAAGUCUGCUGUUAAAAAGUGGAGCUUAACUCCAUCAUGGCAGUGGAAACUGUUGGGCUUGAGUGUGGUAGGGGCAGAGGGAAUUCCCGGUGUAGCGGUGAAAUGCGUAGAUAUCGGGAAGAACACCAGUGGCGAAGGCGCUCUGCUGGGCCAUCACUGACGCUCAUGGACGAAAGCCAGGGGAGCGAAAGGGAUUAGAUACCCCUGUAGUCCUGGCCGUAAACGAUGAACACUAGGUGUCGGGGGAAUCGACCCCCUCGGUGUCGUAGCCAACGCGUUAAGUGUUCCGCCUGGGGAGUACGCACGCAAGUGUGAAACUCAAAGGAAUUGACGGGGGCCCGCACAAGCGGUGGAGUAUGUGGUUUAAUUCGAUGCAACGCGUACAACCUUACCAGGGUUUGACAU
rnacentral:rRNA from 1 species